AUGGCACUGUUCGGUUCCGUGUUGUUUGCCACCGUCGCCAAGUUAGAAGGGACUACCGGACUGGGUAGCUUUUUCACGUUGCUGCUACUGUGUCACAAACAAUGUCUCUAUUUUGUUUUAUUAACUUCUAACCCUAAAAUAAAAAGAGGAUUUCUUAAUGUAUAUAUAUAUGAAAAUAGCAUACAAACUAGAAUUAUAUUUGCGGUUCUCAAAUCGAAGUUACAUUUUUUGUUAUACUACAAGGGAAUCUAA